rnacentral:lncRNA from 1 species
GGGCUGGGCAGGCUCGGGGCGGCCUGGACCCGGACCGGCAGCGAGGGGCCGCGCGCAGGGACGGACCCCGACAUCCCCCGGGGCCGCGAGCGGAUUUCCACGCGGAGAGGGUGUUGGCAGCCCCGGCGACCUGCCGAGACACAGCGGGAUCCACCUUCCAGCCUGAUCUUUGGACCAGAAAGGAAUGAAAAAGUUGCCCCUUACGAUGGCUGUGCCUUGUCAGUUGCUUGAAGCUGCGUUCAGGGAUUUCCUGAGCCUUAUGGAUUUACAGUGACAUUCAGCUGCCCGAGAAUGACGGCGGAGGAAGCAUGGUCUGGAAUCACACGCACCGGGCACACGUUUGGAUGUUAACGGCAGUUUUCAGGAAGACCAUGGCUGAGUGCCUGGCAGAUCCCUGCACCUGGACACCUGUGGGGGACAGAGGACCGCGGCUUCCUGUGAUGCCUGGGAUCUCUGCCCUGUGUCUGCAUGGGCGUUGGCUUGGGUCGCGGCCAGCCUCACUGAGGAUGCCUGUGAAACAAUCCCAUCAUACCUUGGAUUUUGGUGCUAUCAGUCUGAAAAGCAGACGUACCUGUCUGGUACUCUAG